CAGUUCAAGUUUCUCUUCAUUACAUAUAAAUCUUUCACCUUUUAUUAAAGAUUUUAAUGUAGGGGAGCUUUUGUGAGUUUUCUGUAUUUUGGGGGCUCUGCUUAAAGCAGAGCU